CCUACGGGAGGCAGCAGUGAGGAAUAUUGGUCAAUGGGCGUAAGCCUGAACCAGCCAAGUAGCGUGAGGGAUGACGGCCCUAUGGAUUGUAAACCUCUUUUAUAAGGGAAUAAAGUGCGGGACGUGUCCCGUUUUGUAUGUACCUUAUGAAUAAGGAUCGGCUAACUCCGUGCCAGCAGCCGCGGUAAUACGGAGGAUCGGAGCGUUAUCCGGAUUUAUUGGGUUUAAAGGGUGCGUAGGCGGCGUGUUAAGUCAGGGGUGAAAGUUUGUGGCUCAACCGUAAAAUUGCAGUUGAAACUGGGAGGCUUGAGUAUAUUUGAGGCAGGCGGAAUGCGUGGUGUAGCGGUGAAAUGCUUAGAUAUCACGCAGAACCCCGAUUGCGAAGGCAGCCUACCAGGCUGUGACUGACACUGAUGCACGAAAGCGUGGGGAUCAAACAGGAUUAGAUACCCGGGUAGUC
rnacentral:rRNA from 1 species